rnacentral:lncRNA from 1 species
CCGGCUCAGCCGCCUGAUGCCCUGCACUCCUUUCUCUCCUCCCUUCUGUAUCCUUCACAUGGUACAACAAACAUAGAAAGACUUCAUUCACAGGCUCCAAGGCUCGGCCUUCUGUGGGAAGCUUUCUAAAUAUGCAAAUUCCUCAGUAUUGGAUUUCUCUUUUCAAGUGUAUUCUCACUGAGAGCCCUUAAGCAGAUCAAGACUUUCCUGCGCAAAGGGCUCCUUAAAAAUGAUAUCUGCGUGUAAAGGAGAUGCUUCUGAAACUGCCAGGAAGCAGAACUUCCAGCUAUCAAGUCAGGCCUGACCACGAAGGGAGGGAGACCAGUUUCUCAGAGCUUCGCAGGUGUGAAACCCUCACUUUUGAUCUUUGUGCCCCACCCUCGCCUAGGCCUGGGCCCCUCUGUUCAGAGUUGCCCUGCACCAGUGCACAUGUUAAUCCUGGAUAACUGGGAACUCAAAACAAGACGGCUGUCACUCACCAGAAGCUCAAAUCCAGGGAGGAGGACAAGCCUUGAAAUGAGCCAGCUCUCCACUUUCCAGAAGCCCAGCUCCCUUUACCCCCACAACCAGGAGGUUCGGGCCUCAGUGCCUCCUGGACAGAGCAGAUCCGCCCUGGGGCAACUGUUGGGUCAAAACUGGAACAUUCAUCUUUAACUUACCCAUGUUAUGAUCUCAAGCCUGCCUACCACCACCUGCAUGCUACCUCCUACAUGUGAACUGUCUGUCCCUCAGUCACAGCAUUUUUCCAGUCACAGAAGCUAUUCAUUCAUGCAUUCAUCUAUCAGGUACACUUAAUGAGCACCAGGAUAUUGCAGGAAGGAGGUGCUAGUUCUCAAACGAACUGUAAAUGGAAAAGGAUAUGUUUCCUUCUGGGCUUCCCCAGUGGCUCAGCUGUAUAGAAUCCACCUGUAAUGUAUGAGAAACAGGAGAUGCAGGUUCAAUCCCUGGGUCAGGAAGAUCCCCUGGAGGAGGGCGUGGCAACCCACUCUAGUGUUCAUGCCUGGAGAAUCCCAUCAACACAGGAGCCUGGCAGGCUACGGUCCGUAAAAUCGCAGAGUUGAACACGACUGAAGCAACCAAGCACGCAUGGUUCCUUCCACCACCAGAAGUGACAAGGCAGUGCAAUCAUUAUCUCUAAGACCAAUAUGAAAUGAUGCUGUCACUGGAGAAAGUAAGGCCAUUACAAGGAUGAAGGCAGACUCUCCUCAAUCAUGUCCCAAGCAGUUCCAGUCAGCUCGACUUGAAUGCAAACAAGUCAAGCUUCCUAUACAAAAUUAUUACCUGAGAACAGGCAGAAGUCAUUGAACUAGGAAAGCCAGAAUGAUUAUGGGUGACUUGGAGCCAAUUUUCCACACUGGUAUAUCUGAGGAUGGUUUAAGAGCAUCUUUAAAAUGAUGAUUGAGAGGAUUUUCAAAUCAUAAGACCAGUGCACAAGAUCUGUAUGUGUCAGGCUGUGCACAGAGGUGCUUUUUAUAAUGGC